UCCGGACAUCCUGGGCUCUGAUUGAGCACUGUACUCCUGUACACUAUCGCACUGUACAGUAAGCACACAGCAACACAGCUGUGACAAUGUCGGGCAGAUAUGUGAGCUACUUCUGCAAUUUUUCGCAUCUACCAAUGUUCGUAAUGCAAGGUCUGUUCGUAUCUGUGAAAGUUCGCAACUCGAAUGUUUGUAAGUUGGGAACUUACUGUACUGAGAGCCAGUGCUGGGGCUUCACUGGGCUAGGCCUUGGAGGUCUAAGGGGGUCAACAGCAUAAAUGUCCAGAAAAUUCAAGUUCUCCUUAUUGGAUAUGAAGCAAAGGCUUUCUCCGACUGCUUCAACCCUAUUUCUGUACCAUGAGGGGAAUUUUCUGGAACCCUGGACUCUCUAGAAAGCAGCUCCUGGCCCAUGGAGGAAAGUGGGGUUAGGCCCGUUCUGCCACAAUUUGGAAGGAACCAGAGGGAACAAUUACCAUCUUCUUGGCUUAUUUGGGGAUUUAACUGAUGCAACAGGCUAAGGAGGAGGUCCCCAAGGAGCCAGUACUGUAUUAGAUGCUCGAGACCCAUGUGACCCUCAGGGCUGGGACAGCCCUGGAGUGAAGAAGGGCCUCAGAACACAGGACUUCAUGAAAAGGACGAUUUGGGGGGCUGGGGAGAUAUCAGGUUGAAGAGACCAGGGGGAGUGUCACUGUGGGGGAGAGAGAAUAGAAAGGUCUGGAACUGCUGCUCAGUGUGUGUGGCGGUGCUGGCGGUGGAGCAGCAGACCCCUGACAGCUGGAUUUAACUCCGGUGUCUUGUAAACACCAGGACAGAUCAGCUGCAGAGUCUUCUGAGCUGGACCCUUCCUCCCCGUCUUCCCCUUUCCUACUGUGGCGUCUGAGCCCUGGGGUGCUCUGAUGCAUUCUGCCAAGAGGGUGACCACUGCCCAACAUCACUCCCAGGCCCUGGGGAAGGGUGGGAUCCUGCCUGUGGAACAGGCGUGGCCCUAGGUGCAGUGUCUUGGGGGAAGGGCUUGAGCCCUUAAGGACAGAGAGAAAUUAGCCAAGAGCAGAAAGGAGCUCUAGACAGAGGGAUCAGCAUAUUCACAGUCACAGAGGUGGAAGAAAAUGCACAGCAGUGUGAGUCAUUCAAUGGGCUGGAAGCAUAGAGCCUAUGUGGCAAGUGGGGAGAGGUGAGAUGGGGCCCUGCCUCCCUUCUGCUCACACUCCCCGAGGCCUGCACUCACACUGGCCCCUGUCCUCCCCUACACCAAAGCCUGCCUGUCUCGGGGUCCUUCCCAUACCUAUGUUGGGAGUCUACUCUGCACCAGAGGCGUUAGUGCUAAGUACCAGAAGUGAGUACUCCUCCGUGCCUGUCCCUGCCUGUACAUCACUAGAGUCCUUACAACAACCCGGUGCCAUAAACAGGGGUGAUGAUGGAACUACUUAACAACGAAUGGGCGUAAGCUGUAGCCUUAUGAAAGAAUCCUGGUCAUCCUGCUGGCGAUACUGGCUGAGUAUCAGUCAUGGUGGUUAAUACCAUUAUGUCCAUCUUACAGAUAAGGAAAAGAAGGCUGGGGGGAUUUAAAUCACUUGGCCAAAGCUACAAAGCAGAAAAUUGGAGAUUCAGACCUAGCCUUGGCUCCAUCUAAUGCUAUUAAGCUCUCUGGCUCACAAAUGAAAACCUGAAAGUGUGAGGGGGUGAAGAGAGCCUGCCAUACUAUAACACAGGCACCCUGAGGGGCCAUCUGCCCCCAGGGAUGUGGCAGGAGUUGGGGGCAACGCAGGUCCAGGGAAGGUGACAAGCCGGCUGGGGUUUCCUGUCCCCAGCCACAACCUCCGGGCAGCUAGCAAUGGAGGCUGGGGGCCCGUGGUCACUAGGCCAGCAGGGUCUUGGACCAGACUCCUUUGGAAGGACACAGCUGGCCUGGCCUCCAGCAUGACCCUUCCUAUUACAGUUCCUCCUCAAGGUCUCCCUCCUCCCCUAAGAGCAGGGAGGGUUCCCUGGUCCCAGCUGAAACAACAAAGUCACCUGAGCCUCUGCCUUCUCCCAAAUUCCUGAAGAGGCUGCCAGCUAUGAGUCACUGCGUUGGCAGCCCUGCUCACUGUGAACCAGCCUGGGGCCCUGAGGCUUUCCGGGAGUCUGAGCUGGGGUGGAAGGCGGAGGCCAUUGGCAGCCCUGGCGAGCACUUUACCCUUCCAGCUGGAGCUCCAGGGGGCCCAUCCUGUGGUCGGCCCUGCGGGGUCGGUGAUUCCCAGGCCUCAACACCAGACCCUGCCUGAAUGCAGACCCAUUUCCAAGCCUGAACGAUGAGAAGGAAACAGCUAUGAAAAUGGAAGGACAUUCAAAGUCGGGGAAACUGCAAACAUGAAGGUUCUGUGGCUCUAUCAAACACGACAACAAACAGCAAGAAAGCCAAGUGGCUGGAGCCGAGGGAGCAAGGGAGAGGGCGGGAGGAGAUGAAGUUAUCCAAGGCUUCCUUCCAGCUCGGAGCAAAGUGCUGAGUGUGCCGCCUCUUUAUUAAGGCAGUAUCGGUCUGGGCAUGAUUUUGUUCGUAUUCUAAUACCAGGUGAUAAAAAUCAGUCUGCUGAGGGAAAAUGAAAAGGAAACAGCCAUCUGGCAUCACUGAAUCCAUCUCCCUAGCCAGUGAACUUCCUCCAUCACAGUUCGAAGGUUAGACCUUAACUAAUGAGCUGCACGCUGUCUCAGUUGUUCAGUCUGCUUGGCCAUGAUGGACGUGCAUAGGUCCUAAACAGCUUUCUUGGAGCAUCAUCUAUGACGCAUUUUCUCACCUCAGUGGUGAAAAUAAAGGUCAGUCCCCACAGUGCUGGACACAGUACCUGCUGCUACUACUUCUUUGCUAGAAAAACACACCCCUUCAUGGAAAAGUUGGAAAAAGUCAAAUUUCAAAAAAUAGACAUAUUUGUUGGGAAGAUGAUAGGACUUUCUGUACUGCUACAGGACACUUUUUAGAAGAAAUCCUCUGAACAAGACAGUCACAGAGAAUCAGGCUCGGGCAUGCGCUGGCUGCUGGGGAAGGGCAGGCCUGAUUCCUCCACAGGAUGUGUCCUCUGGGCCCCGGGUGCCCAGAUGUGUGAGUGCUUUCCCCACACGUGGCAGUACAAUUAUGUGAAGCCUGCAACAGCUCCAGUUCCUCAUGGCCAAGGGGAUUCCAGGAGAAGCAGCAGGCACAGCUGAGAUGGAAGGAAGCUGUCAGAGCAGCAGGCGCAUUGUCAGGAUGGACGGCCAUGGCAUGGCGAGCCCAGAGAAUGUGCUGGGUCUUUCCUCAUGCAGGCCCCCAGUGGGAAGGCAUGUGGGAAGUCUCUGUGUAUCGGUCCUUAAACCCUCACCUCAGGCUCUGGUCUGACUCUGAAAACUGAGGGAGCUGGGGCCACUCAAAAUGUGCCUCUCCUAGGAUGUGGUUUAAUCAGAGGUUCUCAAGUUUCAAUCUUUGUAUGACUCUAUUGGAAGCAUCAGGAAAGCUUCAAAAAUACAGAUGCCCAGGACUCAACCCAGGCCUGCUAUGGCAUAGGAGGCUGGAGUCUGUUUUCUUGAUCACUCCUCUGGUAAGUUAUCUAAUGCCUGGCCGGGCUUGGGACCCACAGGUCAGUGUUAGCUCACCUACUUUUAUAGGAUCCAUUGCUUUGUUCCAGAGUGGGCUGGGGGUGGGGGUGGGGGUGGACUGUACCCAAGGAAACAUAUUACUGAAUGUUCUUAUAACUCAGAAGAAGCAGCUGCAGUUUCAUGUGGACCAAAUAGACAGGUUUGGUUUAAAUCAAGAACACCUGGAGAAGAAAAACUUCAACCUUUGAGAGCUCAUAGAACCACAGGUGCUUAGCCAGUAGGCUCCUCAUGGGUCCCGAAUGGCUAAAGCAUAGCACAAUCUGUCACACCUCAUUCCCCUGCUUAGGGCAGACAUUGCUAAUCAACCAUGACACCCUUCCCUGUUGAACCUAGAGAACCUUUAGAAUCCUAGCAAUCAGAGCUUGUGCAAGCAACAAAAACUUUUACCCACCUUACCAUUCCUACCAGUCACAUCCUAGUUGAAUCCUAAAUUUUGUUGAGCACCCUGGCUUGCAGUUAUCCACAGGGUACGUUUCAGAAAUUGGUGGUGAGCCACGUUCUCUUCUCUCUCUAUUCUCUUGUCCUAGGUGAACUCAUCGUUGCCUUGACAUUAAACAUUACAUGAACUGGCAAUUCCCAACUUUUUAUUUCCAUCCUAGAGCUCUUCAUGAGCUCCAGACGCACAUAGAAACUCAGAGGCUAAGAAAGCAUAGAAGUCAGGUCUAAGCUGUAUUAGAUAUAGGACAAUGUCUUUGAAUGAAAAUCUUCUUGAUAACAGGACUGCUUAUUUCUCUGUGGACUGCUGAUUAUGCCUGGUACAGCAUCUUGUAUACAGCAGGUACCGGUAAAUGACUGCCGAUUUUACAUGAUACAUUUCCCUGCUUAUAUGAGUAACUCAGUUAUUCUUCUCUUGCUUUUCUUGCCUUUCCAGAGCACAACCUCCUAUAACAGUGGCUGCCCCAUUCCUUGUGCCUCUCAGGGUGGAUGGGGUGUAGUAGUCUGUUACAUUGGUGGUGGCUCUCCGAUGAACCAUUCCUCGUGGUGUUUACAUCCUUGUGUUACCCUCUUCCUUGAAAUGUGGUAUGGACCUGUGAUUUGCACUAGCCAGUAGAACGUGGUGGAAGUUAUACUGUGUCGGUUUCAGGUCUCAGCCCUAAGAAGGCCUGGAAGCUUGACCUUUUUGUGUUCUUGGGAGCCCUGGACAGCCAUGAGUCAAGUUCAACUACCUUGUUGAGAAAAGAAACCAUACGGAGAGAUCAUGUGAAGAGGGAGAGUCCCUGAGACUCUAUGGAGAGCAAGAACAGCCCAGCCCUUCCAGUGUCCAGAGAGCAGCCUGGCCUUUCUUGUCAGUCCCAGCUGAGCCCAGCUGCCAGCUAAUCCGCCAGCUGAAAGCAGCCCUACAGAUGACGACCACUGGCAAGACCAGUAGAACCGCCCAUCUGAGUCAGCUCAGCUUGCAAGUGUCAAGAGCAAAUAAAAUGUGUUAAGCCAAUCAGACUUGGGGUGGUCUGGUCCACCAGAGUAGGUAACUGAAAUGGGGUGUGCGCUUUGAUAUUACGGACCAAAGGGCAGUGAAUGGUCUCGGAACCUCACCUCCUGCUUUCCAGCUUUCAGCUUUGGUGCUCUGCUUUGUACAGAGGCCUGAGCAGUACCAAUUCCUUUGCUCCCUGUCAAUCCAGGGCACAGUAGAGAUAAUUUAGUCAUUUUGUUAGCAUUUUGAAUGGAAACCUUUAGGGCAUCCACCAAAUGUAAGGGCAGAAGGGAGUGGGAUGAGGAACAGAGGGGAGAUGGAAAGGGGGCAGCUCUGUUCGUGCUGAAGUAUCAGAGGGAAUGCAUGCUCACCCCCAACUUGGAAGGCAGAGUUAAGGGGUGGGCCUGUGCAGUAACUGGCUUCAGAAAUCAGAGGCCCAGAGCUGUCUGGAUUUCUAUGAGAACUAAAACUUUCUAUAAACACCAUUAAUAAUGAUUGUCACUGUGGUGU